rnacentral:rRNA from 1 species
CAGUAGCCGCGGUAAUACGGGGGGGGCAAGUGUUAUUCGGAAUGACUGGGCGUAAAGGGCACGUAGGCGGUGAAAAGGGUGGAAAGUGAAAGUCGCCAAAACACUAACGGGGUGCUUUCUUGACCAUUUCACUUGAGUGAGAUAGGGGAGAGUGGAAUUUCGUGUGGAGGGAUCAAAUCCUAAGAUAUACGAAGGAACGCCAACCGCGAAGGCAGCUCUCUGGGUCCCCACUGACGCUGGGGUGCGAAAGCAUGGGGAGCAAACAGGAUCAGAUACCCCGGUAGUCCCUGUCUCUUAUACA